AGCGCGACCGGGUCGACGGCGCGCGUCACCACGAGGUAGUCACGCAAGACGAUGCCGUGACGGUUCUC
rnacentral:sRNA from 1 species